AUUUGCUUGCAGUUUAAACAUAAUGUCGAACAUGUUGAUUCACAGACUGUAGGUACUCAAGUAGUUAUCGUACACAGAGAGGGUGAGUUUGAUGCCAGUGUGCUUUUGAAAUGUAAAAAAACAACCUGAUUGUGAGCAUUUAUCUGCACGUCACACAGGCAACUUCAUUCAGCCGGGUUUUAUUUGAGAUGUGGCCCUUUUUGGCAGUGUAGGGACGACUGGAGUUCAGACACAGAGGCUUUUAAGACACAAUGCAUUAUGGGAAUCGAACUCUUGGGUAAAAAUAAUCGACGGACCUUCAAAAAUGAACAAUGAAGAAAGAAACUCAGAGAUGGUAAUCGGUAACUUGGAACCCACUUGAAGUCCCUAAAUAUCAGCUGUGAUUCCCUAAAAGGCAGAGCAGGUGUUUCCUGGUCGUACUGAUCCUGGUUAGCUGUAAUCCUGUGUGAUUUCUGUGUUCUUUGCUUUUAUUGUUUACCUUCCUGGUUCUGACUUCUACCUUUACCUGAUUUUUGGAUUAGAGAUUGUUGGACUUAAUCCUUUUCUUGUGUUUCGUGUCAAACGAUUGUCUUCCUGUCUGUUUUGAGCCAGUAAUGUUACACAGAGUUAACUGGUAUCAAUGUGUUAUCUAUUUAAGUCUGACUGACUCAUUAAAUGACAUUGUCGUAAAAAUAAAUGAAGAUUGUUGACCUCA